GCUGGGUGUGGUGGUGCAUGCCUGUAAUCCCAGCUGCUUGGGAGGCUGAGGCAGGAGAUUUGUGAGUUCAAAGCCAGCCUCAG
rnacentral:sRNA from 1 species